rnacentral:tRNA from 1 species
AGGGGUGCAUGGCUUAGUGGUAGAGCAUCUGGUUUGCAUGCAGAAGGUCCCAGGUUUGAUCCCCAGCAUCUCUG